rnacentral:snoRNA from 1 species
AGGAGCCGUGCAUGUCAAGAACCAAGGCUACAGACUCCUCAGUAGUGUAUGCAGCCUGCUGCCUGUACUGGUUGCCCUAAGGGACUUUGGAGACGACC